UACAACUACAGAUGGAAAAGCUGUGUCUACUACUGUCGGUGGAAAAUCUGCGUCUACUACUGUUGAUGGAAAAGCUGCGUCUACUACUAUCGAUAGAGAAUCUAGGCCUACAGUGUAUACUACUGUUACAUUGUCAUUUACAGAAUCUGCAACGGCUCCUCAAAUACCUUCACCACCAGAUAUACCAUUAAUAGCUUCUCCAGGGGCUACAGCCUUCGUCGUUCUUGUAGCAAUAAUUGGCAUCGUAAUAUUCAUCAAUUAUCGAAAACGACAUAAAGAAUCGCCAGUAAAGUCACCAGAACAUACCGGGAUGAUUAUAGAUGAGAAUUUGAUGUAUCAGAGUAUGGAUGAUUACCGACAAGAAGGGACUGCUGCCUCUAAUCAAGGGUCUGCCUCUAAUCAAGGGUCUGCCUCUAAUAACCGUAGCAACUAUGAUACGGUGGAUGACAAUAUAUUACAGCAAAAGGUAACUGGGAAAAAACAAGAGGCUGGCUUUUCAGAUUUUGAUCCAAGUAAGGUUUACGGAGUUGUCAAUAAAAGAGAAAAACCGAAAGUAAGGUCACCUGAACAUACCGGGAUGAUUAUAGAUGAGAAUUUGAUGUAUCAGAGUAUGGAUGAUUACCGACAAGAAGGGACUGCUGCCUCUAAUCAAGGGUCUGCCUCUAAUCAAGGGUCUGCCUCUAAUAACCGUAGCAACUAUGAUACGGUGGAUGACAAUAUAUUACAACAAAAGGUAACAGAGAAAAAACAAGAGGCUGGGGUUUCAGAUUUUGAUCCAAGUAAGGUUUACGGAGUUGUCAAUAAAAGAGAAAAACCGAAAGCAGACGUACCGGAUCGAAAUUCUGGAAAUUCACAGCAACAGCCAAAGGAUGAUGGCGAUCAGGUGGACAGUGAUGCUGAACAUUAAUACUUGCUGCUGGUGUGUGAAGAGAUGCUGGUAGCUGAGCUAAACAUUUUAUGGAAAGAGAAGACCUUGUUUAUCUUGUAGUUCUAAAUACAAUGUCAACUGCUUAUUGAUAUUUCAAUAUUGUUAGUUUCGUGAUAAUUGUUUGAUUUUAAUGUUCAUUUAGUGGUGAUAUGAAGACAUGCCAACAGUCAUUGUAAAUCUGUCUGAGUCUUGGGCCUGUGGAUAUAUUAUUACGGCCAUCUUUACUUAAUGCGUAUGUAUGUUGUCAUGCCUGUAUGGCCGUCUUUACGUCUUACAAUCUGUUUAAAACACAGAUCCUAUUUCGUUUCGUUUUUUAUUAGUUCAAAAUUUGUUAUAUAACCCGCGUUCUGGUUGAUGUGAGAGAUUAGCCAAUGAAACGGCCUGUUACGGCGAGUUCUUAGCAUGCGGUGCACGGAACUUUGGGUAUCCCACUAGAUACACCAACGCUGAUUGGUUAAUCAAUAAUGUUUGACGUCAUAGGGUCAAAAGCCGCUCGUAUGACCCCUGACCCGACCUUCCACUACAACCACUCAGAUUUUCAUGUAGUAGAGGCCAUCGAAGGUAUAAAAAAACGAAACGAAAUAUAAAUGUGUAUUUUAAUCAGAAUGUACAUCUUGUAUAUAGGCUGUCAUGCCAUUCACUUGUAAAUUAUUAUAGCUUUUAUUGACAUCGUACAUGUCAGUUGUUUUUGUUGACAUCGUACAUGUCACUUUUCUUCAUGCCGGUGUUAUUAAAUGAAAUGAAAUGAAAUAAAAUGGUGUUUAACGUCCUACCGUUCUGCUCCUAUGCUAGGCUAAUGAAGAUGGGCAUACGCCAUACAGUGUGCUAUGAGGGACAUUUUGCCCGGGCAGCGGCACUAUCGUCUACUCUUACAUCGAAUUCCAACUACCAAGGGAUCUUUUACGUGCAUUCCUAUGUAUACAUGGGGCCUCGGUUUUUCGUCUCAUCCGAAGGACUAGACAGCUGUCCUUGUCAGGCCCUCCGUCCUGCAUCACUGACAAGGGGGAACAAUGCCGGAAAAUCUGGAUGAACUUUCUCGGCCAAUGCAGGGAUCGAACACCCGACCUCCAGGCUAGCGAGCCAGUCGGUGUUAUUAAGUGAAAGACAUCGAACAAUGUUGGAAAAUAUGUAGAAAUGUCGUCUGAAAGAUUUGUAGAAAUGUAUUAGGAGGGACUUAUGGAAGAUUAGUUGUUGCAAACUAAAUAAGUUGCUUCAUUAAAUAAAGUUAGUAUUAUUAUUAUUAUUGUUAUUAUUAUUAUUGUUAUUCUUCUUUUUAUUAUUAUUAUUAUUGUUAUUAUUAUUAUUAUUAUUGUUAUUCUUCUUUUUAUUAUUAUUAUUUUUAUUAUUAUUAUUAUUGUUAUUAUUAUUAUAACCGAUAUUAAAGAAUAUGUAGAUGUUUUGUUUUUUUUAAAAAUAUGUAGAAAUGUCGUUUGAAAUUUAUGUAGAAAUGUCGUUUGAAAUUUAUGUAGAAAUGUCUUUUGAAAAUUAUGUAAUAGUAUCUUUUGAAAUCAGGAAAGGUGUGGUAAACGUGAGAAGUAAAUUUAAAAAUAUGUAACAAUUUGAAAAUUAUGUAAUAAUAUUGUGAAAAAUAUCUUUAAAGUUUCAGUUAAAUAGCUAUCCAAUGGCACUGUGUCAAUCAGCAUUUUUGGUAGUAAGUCUAGUUAUUUUCAUAUUUUUACUGCAAAGAUAAUGAUGCAUACGGUGGCCUUUUAGUGCCAUGCGUUGAUUUGUACCUUUUUCUUGUAAUUUACCUCGUAUAAAAACUUGCACCGCGGAGAAAACUUUACACCGCAGAGAAAAGAUUUACGCCGCGAAGAAAAGGUUUACACCGCGGAGAAAACUUUAUACCUCAGAGAAUAGGUUUACACCGCUGAGAAAAGGUAUACACCGCGGCGAAAACGUUAUACCUCAGAGAAACGAUUUACACCGCCUAGAAAAGGUUUACACCGCGGAGAAAACUUUAUACCUCAGAGAAUAGGUUUACACCGCGGAGAAAAGGUUUACAUCGCGGAGAAAACUUUAUACCGCGGAGAAUAGGUUUACAUCGCGGGGAAAUGGUUUACGCCGCGGAGAAAAGGUUUACAUCGCAGAGAAAACUUUAUACCGCAGAGAAAACUUUAUACCGCAGAGAAAAGGUUUACGCCGCGGAGAAAAGGUCUACACCGUGGAGAAAAGGUUUUUCAUGGUUUUUUUUCAUUUAUCAUAGUUUUCACAGCGAGUUAUAUGAGGUAAAUUACAAGAAAAGGGUAUAAAUCAACGUAUGGCACUUAAAGGACAAUAUUGGUGUCAGAGAGAGAGAGAGAGAGAGAGAGAGAGAGAGAGAGAAAUGGGGUUUAACGUCCACUCGACACAAACAAGGUCAUUUCGGGACUAACAAAUGGUUUAAUUUUAUUUCAAUAAUUCGCUUGCGCGUAGGGGUCUUUAGCAGUGGGAGGAAACCGGAGGACCCGGAGAAAACCCACGAGGUUGGACAGGCGACCCUACUCCUUGCCACGUACAACCGGGGAUUCGAAAUCACGCCAGUCGACUCAAUGACAGACUUUAUGAUACAGCGCGCGCACGUUAACCAUUCAGCCAUCCAACCCCCCUAUUGGUGUCAGUCAUUAUCACAUAUGUGAUAGAACUGGUUAAACACGUUCCAAAUAUUAUUUUAUCACAAAGAUAAUUGCUACGAUAGAUGCGUAAUAAAUGUUUCAACAAUCGGAAGUGACAAACGCAAAAGGAAAACACGAGUUAUCCCUCUAUAUAACUUACUGAAGUGACGGGUGAUAACAGAUACAUAGGCGAAUUUCUGCUCACUAAUAAUUCCUGCGAAAACCAAUAUUGUCCUUUAAAAGGCCACCGUAGAUGCCUGUUUAUUUUUUUAGGACUACGUUAAACUAUUUUAAGUGCUUGGUAGCAUUACCCUUUGACCAGACGUUGUAAACGGACAGAUAAAAUCGAUUUUAAAAAAAAGGGGUGGCAAAUAACAAAAACGGGUGGCGAAUAUCCUUUUCCUAAUAUUUUAUGUAUAAAUUGGCAAUAUUGUCGGUGCCAAAGCUCAAAAAGUAUCAAACACAUAAUUGAUUAAUGGUUACAUUAAUUAAGCAUUAAUUAUUAAUUGUUACAUUAAUUAAGCAUACAAUUUUGUAUAUAUGAAAUUAUGUAUAGACUUUAAUUUAAACUUAUAUGUAUCGAUUAUCGAUUUCGAUCAUCGCAUUUAUAAAUAAAGAUCUGGUAAUCUAAAUGUGGGUCAUUCGAGGCAAUUCAUCUCACUAUAGGUUUGUGAAAUUACGAUUUAAACUCGUUUAAAGGGAUUAAUUAGUGUCCAUGGUUAUCACUACUCACUGGAUAGCUGACGAUAAGUGACUAUUUUAAUUAGAUCGGAAUAUGGCCCUUUAAAGUCCACUCGACACAAAAUAGGCCAUUCCGGGACUAACAUAUGGUUCAAAUUUAUUUCAAUAAUUCUCUUGCGCGUAGGAGUCUUUAUCGAUGGGAGGAAACUGAUUAAGAUUCGGAUAUAGCCAAUUUGACAAUGAAUAAGACGUCAUUUUAAAGUACCUAAUUUUCUUCCCGUUUAGAAGUUAUAGUUAUUAAUAUCUGUACUGUAUUUCCCAGCUUGUAUAUAUCGCAUUCAAUUGAAUGAAAAGGUAUCGUAGCUUGCCGAUACACAUUUUAAGAGUAUCUAAUUUUCUUCCCGUUUAGAAAUUAUCGUUAUUAAUAUCUGUACUAUAUUUCCCAGCUUGUAUAUAUCGCAUUGAAUUGAAUAAAAUCCUAUUGUA